rnacentral:rRNA from 1 species
AUUGAACGCUGGCGGCAGGCCUAACACAUGCAAGUCGAGCGAGCGGCGGACGGGUGAGUAAUGUCUGGGACACUGCCUGAUGGAGGGGGAUAAAUACUGGACACGGUAGCUAAUACCGCAUUCCAUCAGAAGUGCCCAUAGGGGAUUAGCUAGUCGGUGGGGUAACGGCUCACCGGGGCGAAGAUCCCUAGCUGUUCUGAGAGGAGGACCAGCCACACUGGAACUGAGACACGGCCCAGACUCCUACGGGAGGCAGCAGGGGGGAAUAUUGCACAAUGGGCGCAAGUCUGAUGCAGCCAUGCCGCGUGUGUGAAGAAGGCCUUAGGGUUGUAAAGCACUGUCAGCGGGGAGGCGUUACCCGCAGAAGAAGCACCGGCUAACUCCGCGCCAGCCGCCGCGGUAAUUC